rnacentral:lncRNA from 1 species
GUACAUAUAUAUAUAUAUAUAUGAACGUAUUAAUAAAUUAGGUGGGAGGAAGUGACCUCCUCCGCCCAAAUAAAAAUACUUAAAGGGCACUUGAAUCUGGAUCUCAGAAAAUGAAUAAUUUCUUAGUAUAAACGUCCUGUGCACCAUUUGGUUGGGACAAGUAAGUUCCUCUUCAGAAACUCAACUUCCAGGUCUAAAGUUGUCAAUCAACCUUACCCCCUUCUUCUUUCCUCGCAGGUGGCGCGUUUACCCUAUUUUAAAAAAGUUUUAAGUUUUAGCCAACCGGGAUCAGCUUAGAUUGUGGGCGUCCAACCCCAGCCAACAGGGAAAGGACAGAGGAACAGAAGCUCCCUUCCUUUGUCCCGUGUGCUCUGGAGAUUGCAUCCCACGCAGGCAGCCCCCUUCCGUACAAGUAAAGUGGUCUCGCUGAGAAAUUUUCUAAGUGCUGGUUUCUCUUUGCGGGACCGACUCGCCGCCCCCAAAUAUCCCAUUUGGAUCCCAUUCUGUUUCAGGAGAGGCUGGCGGUUACCUUUCUUGGGGAGACGCGUCCGACUGCUUCAUUGUGGGGGCCUCAGGAGCGGAGGAUCGGGUCCCGCCCGAGGUGACGCGUAAACCCAGACUCUCAGCAACGCGGGUAGGAAGGACCCUUGAAGUUCCGCGGCGACCACGGAACUGUGCCUUCGAUCUCCACAGUCGGCUGAAACCAGCAGCCCAGGACAAGUGGACCAGCCAGCAAGACCCAGACCAUCCAAACCGGCUGAUCCUACGACAGGACCCAGAUGCCAGUGAAAGUGACCACAGCCCUGCUCUAGUCACCCCGGAAGCUGACCAGUCUACGCACGGCCGAAGCUUCGUCAAGGAAGCCUCCACCCCUCGAAUUCCCAGUUCACCGACACCAGCCUGGGGAUCACCUCCUUGUCAGAAGUUGGAAAGAGGAAAAACUCAGCCAACCUGGGAAGGACUUUAUCGGGUGCUCCUGACCACCAAGAUGACGGUCGGAAAGGGCCCCAUCCCUGGAGGGAUCUUGGACCUUCACUCCAGGAUCAACGCCUUCCAAAUUAACAUUCAAAAAGGUUUAAUCUGUCUCUUCCUUCUCCCUGUAGCCGCCCAAGGACGUCUUAUUAUCAAUAUAAGGUGAUCACCCUUUCCCCAGCUAGUUUCGUUUGAUGCCUGUCUGGUUCAUAUACCCCGUAAAGAUAUCCACAGCCAAAGACAGCCUCUUCUGAAGAAAAUCCUUGGCCCAGCCCUUGUAGUAACCGGUACCCUGGGGUGCCAUUCCCUGUUGAAAUUCGCUCAGGAUGGUGGCAGAAAUAUUAAAGGGAAACAUUAGGUAAAGUUAGAGAAAAUAGUCACAAACCGGCCGGGCGUGGUGGCUCACGCCUGUCAUCCUAGCACUUCGGGAGGCCGAGGCAGGAGGAUCACGAGGUCAGGAGAUCGAGACAAUCCCGGCUAACAUGGUGAAAC